rnacentral:rRNA from 1 species
UUGGAGGGCAAGUCUGGUGCCAGCAGCCGCGGUAAUUCCAGCUCCAAUAGCGUAUAUUAAAGUUGUUGCAGUUAAAAAGCUCGUAGUUGAAUUUCGGGGUUAGUAGGUUGGUCAUGCCUCUGGUAUGUACUGGUCUCACUGAUUCCUCCUUCCUGAUGAGCCGUAAUGCCAUUAAUUUGGUGUUGCGGGGAAUCAGGACUGUUACUUUGAAAAAAUUAGAGUGUUUAAAGCAGGCUCACGCUUGAAUACAUUAGCAUGGAAUAAUGAAAUAGGACGUUUGAUUCUAUUUUGUUGGUUUCUAGGAUCGACGUAAUGAUUAAUAGGGAUAGUUGGGGGCAUUAGUAUUCAAUUGUCAGAGGUGAAAUUCUUGGAUUUAUUGAAGACUAACUACUGCGAAAGCAUUUGCCAAGGAUGUUUUCAUUAAUCAAGAACGAAAGUUAGGGGAUCGAAGACGAUCAGAUACCGUCGUAGUCUUAACCAUAAACUAUGCCGACUAGGGAUCGGAUGAUGUUAAUUUUUUAAUGACUCAUUCGGCGCCUUACGGGAAACCAAAGUGUUUGGGUUC